rnacentral:rRNA from 1 species
AGCAGUAGCCACGGUAACACGGAGGGGGCUAGCGUUGUUCGGAAUUACUGGGCGUAAAGCGCACGUAGGCGGCUGUGUAAGUUAGAGGUGAAAGCCUGGAGCUCAACUCCAGAAUUGCCUUUAAGACUGCAUCGCUUGAAUCCAGGAGAGGUGAGUGGAAUUCCGAGUGUAGAGGUGAAAUUCGUAGAUAUUCGGAAGAACACCAGUGGCGAAGGCGGCUCACUGGACUGGUAUUGACGCUGAGGUGCGAAAGCGUGGGGAGCAAACAGGAUUAGAUACCCCAGUAGUCCCUGUCUCUUAUAC